rnacentral:rRNA from 1 species
UUACUUUGAGGGGAAAGUUGAAAAGAACUUUGAAGAGAGAGUUCAAGAGUACGUGAAACCGUUAAGAGCCAAACGGGUGGGACCUCGAAGGUCGAACCGAGGGGAUUCAGCUCGUCGGCUCAUGUCGGCCGAGUGCGGGAUUCGCAGAUGCGACCCAGGAAAUCUGGGCGUGCCCGCACUCGAGCCGGCGCCGGCGGGCGUAUUUCCCCUCGUGAUGUAGGUCGCCGCGACCCGUUGCUGGGGACGUCGAAGGCCCGGGCGGACUGGUACCCCGACGUCGCGCGCUUCGGCGCCGGCGAAGGGGGAAACCUCCGGUGUCCUGGCUGCCCUGCGACGGUCGUGUAGCAGAGGGGCGCAUCCACGCCAAUCAUUCCUCUCGCGGCGUGCAAAAGGUCGGUGACCCACCCGACCCGUCUUG